rnacentral:rRNA from 1 species
GUCGAACGGAGGAAGAGAAGCUUGCUUCUUGAAUCUAGUGGCAAACGGGUGAGUAACACGUAAACACCUGCCUUCAGGAUGGGGACAACAGACGGAAACGACUGCUAAUACCGAAUGUGACCGCAUGAUAAAAGAUGGCCUUUUAAGCUAUCGCCUGAAGAGGGGUUUGCGUCUGAUUAGGCAGUUGGUGAGGUAACGGCCCACCAAACCUACGAUCAGUAGCCGGUCUGAGAGGAUGAACGGCCACACUGGAACUGAGACACGGUCCAGACUCCUACGGGAGGCAGCAGUGGGGAAUCUUCCGCAAUGGACGAAAGUCUGACGGAGCAACGCCGCGUGAGUGAUGACGGCCUUCGGGUUGUAAAGCUCUGUGAUCGGGGACGAUGCUGUAGCUAAUACCAUUCAGAGUGACGGUACCCGAAUAGCAAGCCACGGCUAACUACGUGCCAGCAGCCGCGGUAAUACGUAGGUGGCAAGCGUUGUCCGGAAUUAUUGGGCGUAAAGCGCGCGCAGGCGGUUCUUAAGUCCAUCUUAAAAGUGCGGGGCUUAACCCCGUGAUGGGAUGGAAACUGGGAGCUGGAGUAUCGGAGAGGAAAGUGGAAUUCCUAGUGUAGCGGUGAAAUGCGUAGAGAUUAGGAAGAACACCGGUGGCGAAGGCGACUUUCUGGACGACAACUGACGCUGAGGCGCGAAAGCGUGAGGAGCAAACAGGAUUAGAUACCCUGGUAGUCCACGCCGUANACGAUGAAUACUAGGUGUAGG